UCCGGUUUGUCACCGGCAGUCACCUUAGAGUGCCCAACUAAAUGCUGGCAACUAAGAUCAAGGGUUGCGCUCGUUGCGGGACUUAACCCAACAUCUCACGACACGAGCUGACGACAACCAUGCACCACCUGUCACCGCUGUCCCCGAAGGGAAAGGUAUAUCUCUAUACCGGUCAGCGGGAUGUCAAGGGCAGGUAAGGUUCUUCGCGUUGCAUCGAAUUAAACCACAUGCUCCACCGCUUGUGCGGGCCCCCGUCAAUUCCUUUGAGUUUCAACCUUGCGGCCGUACUCCCCAGGCGGAGAACUUAAUGCGUUAGCUGCGCCACCCAAGCACCAUGUGCCCGGACAGCUAGUUAUCAUCGUUUACGGCGUGGACUAC
rnacentral:misc_RNA from 1 species